UACGUAGGGUGCGAGCGUUGUCCGGAAUUAUUGGGCGUAAAGGGCUCGUAGGCGGUCUGUCGCGUCGGGAGUGAAAACUCAGGGCUUAACCCUGAGCCUGCUUCCGAUACGGGCAGACUAGAGGUAUGCAGGGGAGAACGGAAUUCCUGGUGUAGUGGUGGAAUGCGUAGAGAUCCGGAGGAACACCAGCGGCGAAGGCGGCAUCCUGGACUGGUCCUGACACUCAGGAGCGAAAGCGUGGGGAGCGAUCCGG
rnacentral:rRNA from 1 species